AUGGCGGUGACCCUUACAAGUUUUCUAGUGCUCACGCAGGUGUUUUCGGCGAGCUUUUCCACGGCGGUCCUUCCUCAUGGAUUUCCGUUCAACGACGUAUGCCUGGAAUUCGCCGACUGCGGUUCUUCGUCUUCAACUGAUUUGUUCGAGGCCUUCGAGCUACAACAGUGUCCAGCCGGUGACGAAUUUGAACGUUUUCAGAUUCCAAGCUGGCAACAUUGCCAUGUGGGCGUUGACGCUGUCAAGUGUCGACUACAAUAUCACCGGAGCAGCACUGUGACGAUGGGGCGUGGAACCGGC
rnacentral:lncRNA from 1 species